rnacentral:tRNA from 1 species
GCCUGGCUGGCUCUGUCAGUAGAGCGUGCAAUUCUUGAUCUCAGGGUCAUGAGUUCAAACCCCAUGUUGGGUG